rnacentral:rRNA from 1 species
CCUANGGGUGGCAGCAGUGGGGAAUAUUGCACAAUGGGGGAAACCCUGAUGCAGCAACGCCGCGUGAAGGAUGAAGGUUUUCGGAUUGUAAACUUCUUUGACCGGGGACGAAACAAAUGACGGUACCCGGAAAACAAGCCACGGCUAACUACGUGCCAGCAGCCGCGGUAAUACGUAGGUGGCGAGCGUUGUCCGGAAUUACUGGGUGUAAAGGGCGUGUAGGCGGGUCUGCAAGUCAGAUGUGAAAUUCCGGGGCUUAACUCCGGCGCUGCAUUUGAAACUGCGGAUCUUGAGUGUUGGAUAGGGAAGUGGAAUUCCUAGGGUAGCGGUGAAAUGCGUAGAUAUUAGGAGGAACACCAGUGGCGAAGGCGACUUCCUGGACAACAACUGACGCUGAGGCGCGAAAGCGUGGGGAGCAAACAGGAUUAGAUACCCUGNUANUC